CGCAAGCCUGACGGAGCAACGCCGCGUGAGGGAUGAAGGCCUCUGGGCUGUAAACCUCUUUUAUCAAGGAAGAAGAUCUGACGGUACUUGAUGAAUAAGCCACGGCUAAUUCCGUGCCAGCAGCCGCGGUAAUACGGGAGUGGCAAGCGUUAUCCGGAAUUAUUGGGCGUAAAGCGUCCGCAGGCGGUUUUACAAGUCUGUCGUUAAAACGUGGAGCUCAACUCCAUUUCGGCGAUGGAAACUGUAAGACUAGAGUGUGGUAGGGGCAGAGGGAAUUCCCGGUGUAGCGGUGAAAUGCGUAGAUAUCGGGAAGAACACCAGUGGCGAAGGCGCUCUGCUAGGCCAUAACUGACGCUCAUGGACGAAAGCCAGGGGAGCGAAAGGGAUUAGAUACCCCUGUAGUCCUGGCCGUAAACGAUGAACACCAGGUGUCGGGGGAAUCGACCCCCUCGGUGUCGUAGCCAACGCGUUAAGUGUUCCGCCUGGGGAGUACGCACGCAAGUGUGAAACUCAAAGGAAUUGACGGGGGCCCGCACAAGCGGUGGAGUAUGUGGUUUAAUUCGAUGCAACGCGAAGAACCUUACCAGGGUUUGACAUCCUGCGAAUUCCUUGGAAACUUGGAAGUGCCUUCGGGAGCGCAGUGACAGGUGGUGCAUGGCUUCUCAGCUC
rnacentral:rRNA from 1 species